UGCCAGCCGCCGCGGUAAUACGGAGGGUGCAAGCGUUGUUCGGAAUUAUUGGGCGUAAAGCGCGUGUAGGCGGUUCGUUAAGUCUGAUGUGAAAGCCCGGGGCUCAACCCCGGAAGUGCAUUGGAAACUGGCGAACUUGAGUACGGGAGAGGAAAGUGGAAUUCCGAGUGUAGGGGUGAAAUCCGUAGAUAUUCGGAGGAACACCAGUGGCGAAGGCGGCUUUCUGGAGCUCUUCUGACGCUGAGGAACGAAAGCUAGGGGAGCGAACGGGAUUAGAUA
rnacentral:rRNA from 1 species